rnacentral:rRNA from 1 species
UAGUCCACGCCGUAAACGAUGUCGACUAGCCGUCGGGCACAUCUGGUGCCUGGUGGCGUAGCUAACGCGUUAAGUAUCCCGCCUGGGGAGUACGGUCGCAAGGCUAAAACUCAAAGGAAUUGACGGGGGCCCGCACAAGCGGUGGAGUAUGUGGUUUAAUUCGAAGCAACGCGCAGAACCUUACCUACCCUUAACAUUUCACGCUCGCCUCAGAGAUGAGGUUUUCUCUUCGGAGACGUGAGGAUAGGUGCUGCAUGGCUGUCGUCAGCUCGUGUCGUAAGAUGUCUGGUUAAGUCCAAUAACGAGCGCAACCCCUGUCCUAUGUUGCCAGCACGUCAAGGUGGGGACUCGUAGGAGACUGCCGGCGUCAAGUCGGAGGAAGGUGGGGACGACGUCAAGUCAUCAUGGCCCUUACGGGAUGGGCUACACACGUGCUACAAUGGACGGUACAGAGGGCUGCAAGCCAGCGACGGUGGAGCUAAUCUCACAAAGCCGGCCCCAGUUCGGAU